rnacentral:rRNA from 1 species
UACGGGGGGGGCAAGCGUUGUUCGGAAUUACUGGGCGUAAAGGGCUCGUAGGUGGCCAACUAAGUCAGACGUGAAAUCCCUCAGCUUAACUGGGGAACUGCGUCUGAUACUGGAUGGCUUGAGAUUGGGAGAGGGAUGUGGAAUUCCAGGUGUAGCGGUGAAAUGCGUAGAUAUCAGGAGGAACACCGGUGGCGAAGGCGGAUCUCUGGGCCAUUACUGACGCUGAGGAGCGAAAGCGUGGGGAGCGAACAGG